rnacentral:rRNA from 1 species
GUGUCAGCCGCCGCGGUAAUACGGAGGGUGCAAGCGUUAUCCGGAUUUACUGGGUUUAAAGGGUGCGUAGGUGGGUCUGUAAGUCAGUGGUGAAAUCUCCGAGCUUAACUCGGAAACUGCCAUUGAUACUAUAGGUCUUGAAUUAUCUGGAGGUAAGCGGAAUAUGUCAUGUAGCGGUGAAAUGCUUAGAUAUGACAUAGAACACCAAUUGCGAAGGCAGCUUACUACGGAUCGAUUGACACUGAGGCACGAAAGCGUGGGGAUCAAACAGGAUUAGAAACCCCUGUAGUCC